GGAGCUUUUUUAGGAAGCAAAUCAUCCAAAACUGGCUCUAGUCCUGGAUAUUCUUCCGCUAUGCUUUGCCGAAUUUUCCGUUGCACUGAUGCCUUGACUUGAUUCUGGGCAGAUACGUCUUCAGUAGAAAACUUUUUGAACAUGAUGCCGGAGAGUUAUUUGAGGAGAAUCCUUGUAAACGUUGUUACCGUAAUUUAUGCUUCCUUCAAAUCUGUCAAUUUGUGUCAAUUAGCGAUUAUGGGCAAUUACUUAGGGUAAUCCUCCCUUACGGCCACGGGCUCUAUAAGUUGUGUACAAUUUGCUUGUAAAUGACUGGAUUCG
rnacentral:misc_RNA from 1 species